CAGGUGCAGGCAAAUGGGACCUCCUGGGUUAGGCAACUUGUGUUGUAGCCAUUUAGCUUAACUCAGUAUGUUAUAACUAUAACUUUACAUUUUAUCUGCCUGUAAUUAUGUGGGUGAGAUUUAUUACGUAGUCGGAGGCGUGUUUGAGGCUGGGAUUCUCGCGCAGAAGCUCUAGCAGUUUUUAGUUUAGCUGGAGGAAGCAUGGGGGAGAAGGCACAGCUUUCAACCAUGCACGGGUUCCUCCAUGCACGAGUUUGACUACGAGUAAGAGCAAAAUGUACUUAAACAGGAAGAAGUUUGGAUGAAUAUCUUACUGUUUUUACUACGACAACAAAUAAACUAUUAAUUAAGAGACUGUGUUUUGAAGAUUUAUCUUUGGACCGCUUUGAAUGUCUUGUGGAGAUAUCGCAUUCGUAUCAAAAUUAUCUCCUUACCCCAGACUCAAACAAAAA